rnacentral:rRNA from 1 species
UACGUAGGGGGCAAGCGUUGUCCGGAAUCAUUGGGCGUAAAGCGCGUGUAGGCGGCUCGGUAAGUCUGCUGUGAAAGUCCAGGGCUCAACCCUGGAAAGCCGGUGGAAACUGUCGAGCUAGAGUCCGGAAGAGGCGAGUGGAAUUCCUGGUGUAGCGGUGAAAUGCGCAGAUAUCAGGAGGAACACCAAUGGCGAAGGCAGCCCGCUGGGACGGUACUGACGCUGAGACGCGAAAGCGUGGGGAGCAAACAGG